rfam:Salinisphaera hydrothermalis C41B8 contig35, whole genome shotgun sequence.
CGUCGGUGCCCCCGCGACGAUAAGCCGUUAACCCCGUCAGGCCCGGAAGGGAGCAGCGGUAGCGGCGGACUCGGGCGCCGGGGUGUCGCUGGCGUGG